GUAGGGAGCAAGCGUUGUUCGGAAUUAUUGGGCGUAAAGAGCGCGUAGGCGGUUCGGUAAGUCUGACGUGAAAUCCCGGAGCUUAACUCCGGAACUGCGUUGGAUACUGGAGGACUUGAGUUCGGGAGAGGAAAGUGGAAUUCCUGGUGUAGCGGUGAAAUGCGUAGAGAUCAGGAAGAACACCCGUGGCGAAGGCGGCUUUCUGGACCGAUACUGACGCUGAGGCGCGAAAGCUAGGGGAGCGAACGGGAUUAGAUACCCCGGUAGUCCUAGCCGUAAACGAUGGUCACUAGGUGUUGGGGGUAUCGACCCCCCCAGUGCCGCAGCUAACGCAAUAAGUGACCCGCCUGGGGAGUACGGCCGCAAGGUUG
rnacentral:rRNA from 1 species